UGCAACUCGCCUACAUGAAGCCGGAGUUGCUAGUAAUCGCGAAUCAGCAUGUCGCGGUGAAUACGUUCCCGGGCCUUGUACACACCGCCCGUCACACCAUGAGAGUUGGUAACACCCGAAGUCCGUGAGGUAACCGUAAGGAGCCAGCGGCCGAAGGUGGGAUUGAUGAUUGGGGUGAAGUCGUAACAAGGUAGCCGUAGGAGAACCUGCGGCUGGAUCACCUCCUUUCUAGGGAG
rnacentral:rRNA from 1 species